CGCUGUCUCAUAGGUCUCCACUAGCACUGCCCCUACAGCUGCUUCGCCAUCUCACAGGUUGCCGCCCCCGCUGCCAUCUCGCAGGUCUCCGAUGUCCUCGAAGCCCUCCAGCGCCUUUAGAGCUUCCUCCACCGUAGUUGCAGUCAGUGAGUACAUGGAACAACCACUACCGGUCCUCGUGCAAGUUCGCGGCGUAUGCUGAAAUUGACAAAGGCGAAGCAAGCACCAACUAGAAAUACGUACUAGACCCAUCUCCAGCACCCGUCGAGCAGCAGCCAUGUGACAUGUACAUGCUCAAUUGCAAGCUGGUCGCAUCACAUGAGAGUAUAGUUAAGGCCCUUGGGGAGUUGAAUGACUCCCUAUGGAAGAAGAGGGGUCAGAUAAUCGACGAUAAUGUUGGUUUCUACAGUAAGAUCAUUAAGCUGAGCGACUAGAAGGAUGAACUGGUCCGUGAGACGGAUAAGGUGAAGAAGGAGAUACAACUCAUAAGGGCCAAGAGGAUUCAACUAAAGACAAAGAAAGCCCAUUACAGAAGGGAGGGGGAGAGCAAUAGGAAUAAGCUACAUGAGAUGAAGUUAAUUAUUCAAAGAGAGAUAUCAGAUGUAGGUAGUUUGG